AGAAGCGGAAACAGGAGCAGCAGCAGCAGCAGCAGCGGCAGGAGAGGCACACAGGAGCCAGAUCCUAAAGGCUUUGUAUGCCACAUUAGGAAAGAAUUUGGAAUACAGCUUCUGUUUGGAAAACAUUUUCUGUAACCAGCCCGACAAUAUGACCUGCCAGCGUCACACAACUUUCAUACAAAGAAAUCAGUAAGUCUCUUGAUUUUAGUCAGUCUACAUAUAGUAUUGAAAAGCUUUGUGACAAGUAAUUCUUUCUAAUGUUACCAGGCUGCCUGUGUAAAUACAGAAGGCCAGCCUAGGAGACAGGAUAAAUUAUCUGUGGGAAGGGCCCAUAAUCAAUAGCCAACAUUCUAGUUUAAAAUUCAUUCUCAAAUGCUUUGGGCACAAAAAGGUAAAAAUAAACUAAGUUUUUGCUCUUUUUAUAUAGCAUAUAUUUUCUUAGUUUGUACUAAUACAUUCUUAUAUUACAAAGGCAAUUUCAUGGAAGAAUCUUCCUUUUGAUAUUGAAUCAUCUGAAAUUACACAAAUAGAACUAUACAUUCAAAAAAAUUCUCAUGUGAAUAACAAAAAAGACAAGUUAAACAACAACAAAAAAGCUUCCUUUCUAUUUUUUUUAAAUGGUGAAAAGAUAUAUAUAUAUAUAUAUAUAUAUAUAUAUAUAUUCAGAAUUAGGCAGCUGGACUCAGUUUAGAUGAUCCCAAUUUUGUUGGCAACAUCCAAAGCAUCGUAACCAGGAGCCAGUCGAACAUAUGCCUUCUUCUCUCCAUCAGGUGGGUGACGUGCGGAUCUUCUUCUUUUUGUGGCUGUGGACACCUUUCAACACUGCCUUCUUGGCCUUUAAAGCCUUCGCUUUGGCUUCGGCUUUAGGAGGGGCAGGAGCUUCCUUCUUCGCUUUCGGCGCCAUCUUGUGAAAAGGGUCUUUUUUUUUUUUUUUUUUUUUACACAGGGUCUCACUCUGUUACCCAGGCUGGAGUGCAGUGGCAUGAUCUCGGCUCACUGCAGCCUCCACCUUGUGUUCAAGCGAUCCUCCCACCUCAGCCUCCUGAGUAGCUGGGAUUACAGGCGUGCGCCACCAUGCCUGGCUAAUUUUUGUAUUUUUAGUAGAGACGGGAUUUUGCCAUGUUGGCCAGGCUGGUCUCAAACUCCUAACCUCAAGUGAUCCACCCGCCUUAGCCUCCCAAAGUGCUGAGAUUACAGGCAUGAACCACCACACCUGGCCUGAAAGUUUUCCUUUCUUGCAGGUGGACAUUGAAUAGUAGGCCUAAUUUGGAUUUUGUUUUAAAAGUCCCAAAACAAAAGCAGCUUAAAACCUAAUUAAAAUGAAUUUAAAAAUCUGUGCACUCAACUACUGGUCUCUGGCACCAUUUUCUGUUUUUUGUCCUUGUGGCGCAGGUUCUUCUUUGUUUCUUCUUUUGCUCUUUUCAUUGGCUCAGUUGCACCAUUCUCCAUCACAUUCAUCAUCACUAUCAAAUUUAGUUUACCUGCCCUGAAACUGUACCUUCCCUAUCGCAAACCCAGGCUGGGUAGCUUUAUUACUCUUCCCUUUUCCUGUAAAUCUGCAAUCUUUGACUUCCAUUUAUUUGGGGAUUCUUGUUGGUCUUGCAUGAUUUUUUUCAAUGCUUCUUUUUCAUCUCUCCUUCUACUAUUUCCCAAGUCACUUCUUUGGUUUUUUGUUUUUUAAUUGUGGGUUACCAUUAUUUGUGUCUUUGGCUUUACCUAAUGCUUCUUUGGCUUUUUCUUUAAAUAGAAUUAUCCUCUCUUUUGCUCCUCUGACAAAGUCUAUCCAUUUUAUUUCACCACUUGCAUUUAUUUAUAUUAAAAAAUUUCUCUCAAUCCAGGUAGGAAGAACAUUCUAUGUUUACUACCUUGGGAAGGAAUGACAUACCUGUUCACAUGGAAAAAAGAAUUUACAACCUUGAUAAAAAGAAAAUAUGAUAAGAGCAAAGUUUCCAUGCUUCUAACCACUCAAAUAUUAGGAAUGAUACCCUGAGAUUGGAGCGAGACUGGCAGAGACAGAAAGGGGAAAAAAGAGGGUCACAAAGAGGAGUGGGAAACGACAGAAUCCCAGAAGAAGUUUUAGGGACCAAUGGCGGUGAAAACUUAUGUCUUCAAUCUUGGGCAGAGUUAAGGGAAGUGGCAAGAGAUCCCACAUGGUACAAGAGUAGAAAUGGUGUGCACAUAGUGUGUCUGUACAGCCAGGUCUGUGACAACCUUACCAUGUUCUCCAUAGCUUAGAGGAGAAGAAUGUUUCAUACAUGUACAAGAAUAAUAUGGACAUAGUCCAGACAACUGACAGGAGCUGGAUGAGAAACAAGAAUGGAUGCUGCAGAGACCUAUAUGAACCAAUGGCCAAUGAUCUGGUGGGGAAAUGGGACAUGUCAGUGGUGACAAUUAGGACAAAAUGUCCCCAAAUCCCUUACCUCAUACUUUUAUACCCUGAACACCCUAGAGAAUUUAGAUGUAACUUUGGAGGUGGUAUAAUUGAUUGAGAUUAAUUUUUCCACCUUUCUUCGAAUGGAGGUACUAAAAAAAACUUAAUAGAGUUUAUUUAAAGAAAAAUAAAGUUACAUAUCUUGCAAAUCCAAGUUCAAUGGACCAAGAUACAAAAUAGCUACCCUAAAGAAAAAUGUUUAGUAUCUUUUAUAUUUACCAACUGUCCUUAGAUAAUUAAUAAACUUGGUACAAGGAUAUAAAUCUAGCCAUGUUCUUAGUACAGUAAUUUUCAAACACACCUUAUCUGCCAAACUGAAAAGGAAAAUACUGAAUAGGGAAUACUAUCAAUUUACUUUAGAGAAUACAACUUCAAAAGUACUGCCUCUACACACAGGCUUUUGCUAAAUAUACAUCAACGAGCAAAGGCAGGAUGAGUAGAUCAUUAUGAGGUAACUGUGAGCCUGUCUGUUUUUAGUAUUUAUAAGCAAAUCAUGCUUAUAGUGAGUAAAUAAGAGCUAAAAAAUCACUUAUGGUAUUUUUCUUAUAGGAAUAUAUGGGCUUCUGUGUAUACAUGUGUGUGUUUCUAUAUAUAUAUAUAUAUUUUUUUUUUUUUUUGUUUGUUUGUUUGAGAUGGAGUCUUGCUCUGUCACCAGGCUGGUAUACAGCAGCAUGAUCUCAGCUCACUGCAGCCUCCGCCUCCCAGGUUCAAGCGAUUCUCCUGCCUCAGCCUCCCAAGUAGCUGGGAUUACAGGUGCGCACCACACACCCAGCUAAUUUUUGUAUUUUUAGUAGAGGUGGGGUUCCACCAUGUUGGCCAGGAUGGUCUCGAUCUUUUGACCUCAUGAUCCGCCUGCCUCAGCCUCCCAAAGUGCUGAGAUUACAGGUGUGAGCCACUGUGUUCAGCCUAUUUAUAUAUUUUCAUAUGU
rnacentral:lncRNA from 1 species